rnacentral:rRNA from 1 species
AUGAGCCCAAUAAAACUUGUGUCCCAACUCCCAACAAAAAUCAGAACCCUGCGCGGCCAGCCCGGCCCAGCCCAGCCCAGCUCCGCGGGAACCCCCCAACGGCGCGGCGCCGUGCCGGAGACGGAGAGCAGGGGGGGCCAUCUCCCGCGGCGGAGAAUCGGCCAGCGAGGCGCCUCCGUGCUCCGGAAGAAAGAACGAACCGCUUGGCCCCAAGGCGAAGCAACAUUUCGUCAAGGCACGCGCGCUAGAGGAAGAAGACCGCGGUGGAGGAGAGACCUCGUGCGAAAGAGGAGGAAAAACAUGUUCAUCCAGAAGGCAUGGAGGACGGCGGCGUUCGGGCUCUACGGCUUCACCCAGUUCACCAAAUCCGGCUUCGUGGAACACGCCAAGAAGUUCAGAGAGGAGGAUAUGCAGAUCCGGUUGGAUGGGAAAAACUGCCUGGUAACCGGAGCAAACUCUGGCCUGGGUUAUGCUACAGCUCAGGGCUUGGCUUCUCAUGGCGCCACUGUUUAUAUGCUUUGCCGGAACAAAGAAAGGGGAGAGACUGCUCUGAAUGAAAUAAGAUCCAAAACUGGCAAUAUGAAUGUUCAUCUGGAGAUAUGUGACCUUUCAUCAAUUAACGAAGUCAAGUCAUUUGCCACAAAAUUCUCUUCAUUGGAGAAGCCACUUCAUGUCCUUGUCAACAAUGCUGGCUUACUAGAGCACAAGCGUACGACUACACCGGAAGGGUUGGAGCUCAAUUUUGCUGUGAAUGUGGCAGCAACAUACACUUUAACAGAGCUAGUGAUGCCACUGUUGGAAAAAGCAGCACCUGAUGCUCGUGUCUUUACAGUUGCAUCCGGAGGGAUGUACACUGAGCCACUGAACACGAAUUUGCAAUACAGCGAAAGCGAAUUUGACGGGACAAAACAAUAUGCUCGUAACAAGAGAGUUCAGGUUGCUCUCACUGAAUGGUGGGCUGAGAAAUACAGCAACAAGGGAGUCGGUUUCUACUCCAUGCAUCCAGGAUGGGCUGAUACACCUGGAGUCUCGAAGAGCUUGCCGGGACUAUCGGAGAAGCUAUCAGGAAACCUGAGAUCGAACGAAGAAGGGGCUGACACAGUGGUCUGGUUGGCUUUGCAACCCAAGGAGAAAUUAGUGCCAGGGGCUUUCUACUUCGACCGAGCUGAAGCGCAAAAACAUUUGAAGUUUGCUGGGACUGCAUCAUCCCACGAGCAGAUAGGUUCCAUUGUUGACAGCAUUCGCUCCAUCUGUAGUCUCCCUGCAAACCCGUAA